UGGGGAAUCUUGCUCAAUGGGCGCAAGCCUGAAGCAGCGACGCCGCGUGUGGGAAGAAGGUCUUCGGAUUGUAAACCACUUUCAGGAGGGAAGAAGCGCAAGUGACGGUACCUCCAGAAGAAGCCCCGGCCAACUACGUGCCAGCAGCCGCGGUAAUACGUAGGGGGCAAGCGUUAUCCGGAAUCAUUGGGCGUAAAGCGUUCGCAGGCGGCGAUUCAAGUCUGUUGUCAAAGCCCGCAGCUCAACUGCGGACAGGCAGUGGAAACUGAAUCGCUAGAGUGCGGCAGGGGUAGAGGGAAUUCCCGGUGUAGCGGUGAAAUGCGUAGAUAUCGGGAAGAACACCAGUGGCGAAAGCGCUCUACUGGGCCGCAACUGACGCUCAGGGACGAAAGCUAGGGGAGCGAAAGGGAUUAGAUACCCCCGUAGUCC
rnacentral:rRNA from 1 species